AUUGAACGCUGGCUGCAGGCCUAACACAUGCAAGUCGAACGGUAACAGGAAACAGCUUGCUGUUUCGCUGACGAGUGGCGGACGGGUGAGUAAUGUCUGGGAAACUGCCUGAUGGAGGGGGAUAACUACUGGAAACGGUAGCUAAUACCGCAUAACGUCGCAAGACCAAAGAGGGGGACCUUCGGGCCUCUUGCCAUCGGAUGUGCCCAGAUGGGAUUAGCUAGUAGGUGGGGUAACGGCUCACCUAGGCGACGAUCCCUAGCUGGUCUGAGAGGAUGACCAGCCACACUGGAACUGAGACACGGUCCAGACUCCUACGGGAGGCAGCAGUGGGGAAUAUUGCACAAUGGGCGCAAGCCUGAUGCAGCCAUGCCGCGUGUAUGAAGAAGGCCUUCGGGUUGUAAAGUACUUUCAGCGGGGAGGAAGGGAGUAAAGUUAAUACCUUUACUCAUUGACGUUACCCGCAGAAGAAGCACCGGCUAACUCCGUG
rnacentral:rRNA from 1 species